rnacentral:rRNA from 1 species
GGUGAGGUAAAAGCUCACCAAGGCGACGAUCUGUAGCGGGUCUGAGAGGAUGAUCCGCCACGCUGGAACUGAGACACGGUCCAGACUCCUACGGGAGGCAGCAGUGGGGAAUUUUGGACAAUGGGGGCAACCCUGAUCCAGCCAUGCCGCGUGAGUGAAGAAGGCCUUCGGGUUGUAAAGCUCUUUCAGCCGGGAAGAAAACGCAUGGGUUAAUACCCUGUGUGGAUGACGGUACCGAUAAGAAGCACCGGCUAACUACGUGCCAGCAGCCGCGGUAAUACGUAGGGUGCGAGCGUUAAUCGGAAUUACUGGGCGUAAAGCGUGCGCAGGCGGUUUUGUAAGACAGGCGUGAAAUCCCCGGGCUUAACCUGGGAACUGCGUUUGUGACUGCAAGGCUAGAGUACGGCAGAGGGGGGUGGAAUUCCACGUGUAGCAGUGAAAUGCGUAGAGAUGUGGAGGAACACCAAUGGCGAAGGCAGCCCCCUGGGUCGAUACUGACGCUCAUGCACGAAAGCGUGGGUAGCAAACAGGAUUAGAUACCCUGGUAGUCCACGCCCUAAACGAUGCCAACUAGGUGUUGGGAGGGUAAAACCUUUUAGUACCGGAGCUAACGCGUGAAGUUGACCGCCUGGGGAGUACGGCCGCAAGGUUAAAACUCAAAGGAAUUGGCGGGGACCCGCACAAGCGGUGGAUGAUGUGGAUUAAUUCGAUGCAACGCGAAAAACCUUACCUACCCUUGACAUGCCAAGAACUUUCCAGAGAUGGAUUGGUGCCCGAAAGGGAACUUGGACACAGGUGCUGCAUGGCUGUCGUCAGCUCGUGUCGUGAGAUGUUGGGUUAAGUCCCGCAACGAGCGCAACCUUGUCGUUAAUUGCCAUCAUUUAGUUGGGCACUUUAACGAGACUGCCGGUGACAAACCGGAGGAAGGUGGGGAUGACGUCAAGUCCUCAUGGCCCUUAUGGGUAGGGCUUCACACGUCAUACAAUGGUCGGUACAAAGGGUCGCCAAGCCGCGAGGUGGAGCCAAUCCCAGAAAGCCGAUCGUAGUCCGGAUCGCAGUCUGCAACUCGACUGCGUGAAGUCGGAAUCGCUAGUAAUCGUGGAUCAGAAUGUCACGGUGAAUACGUUCCCGGGUCUUGUACACACCGCCCGUCACACCAUGGGAGCGGGUUCCGCCAGAAGUAGGUAGCCUAACCGCAAGGAGGGCGCUUACCACGGCGGGGUUCGUGACUGGGGUGAAGUCGAAACAAGGUAGCCGUAGGGGAACCUGCGGCUG